GCUUAACCGUGGAGGGUCAUUGGAAACUGGGGAACUUGAGUGCAGAAGAGGAGAGUGGAAUUCCACGUGUAGCGGUGAAAUGCGUAGAGAUGUGGAGGAACACCAGUGGCGAAGGCGACUCUCUGGUCUGUAACUGACGCUGAGGCGCGAAAGCGUGGGGAGCGAACAGGAUUAGAUACCCUGGUAGUCCACGCCGUAAACGAUGAGUGCUAAGUGUUAGAGGGUUUCCGCCCUUUAGUGCUGCAGCAAACGCAUUAAGCACUCCGCCUGGGGAGUACGGUCGCAAGACUGAAACUCAAAGGAAUUGACGGGGGCCCGCACAAGCGGUGGAGCAUGUGGUUUAAUUCGAAGCAACGCGAAGAACCUUACCAGGUCUUGACAUCCUCUGGCAACCCUAGAGAUAGGGCUUCCCCUUCGGGGGCAGAGUGACAGGUGGUGCAUGGUUGUCGUCAGCUCGUGUCGUGAGAUGUUGGGUUAAGUCCCGCAACGAGCGCAACCCUUGAUCUUAGUUGCCAGCAUUCAGUUGGGCACUCUAAGGUGACUGCCGGUGACAAACCGGAGGAAGGUGGGGAUGACGUCAAAUCAUCAUGCCCCUUAUGACCUGGGCUACACACGUGCUACAAUGGGCAGAACAAAG
rnacentral:rRNA from 1 species